UUUAUGGUAAUAUUGAAUUAAGUUUUAAUACUACUUAUGUAACUGUAAUGUAUGCUUUGUUAUCAAAAUUAAAAAACAAUUGAGUACUGUAAUAAAACAAAAUUGUCUAUCUAACCUAGGGGUGUCCAACCUUUUGUGAAAACUUCGCCAUAUCAUGUAAGUAAAAUUUGUUGGCCACAUACAUUUAAUUUUUAAUUUUUACCAUAGGGAAU